rnacentral:rRNA from 1 species
UACAGAGGUGGCAAGCGUUGUUCGGAAUUACUGGGCGUAAAGGGCGCGUAGGCGGUCCCGUCAGUCCCUUGUGAAAUCCCCCGGCUCAACUGGGGAACUGCAAGGGAUACAGCGGGGCUUGAGUUCGGGAGAGGGAAGCGGAAUUCCGGGUAUAGCGGUGAAAUGCGUAGAUAUCGGGAGGAACACCGGUGGCGAAGGCGGUUCUCUGGGCAUGUCCUGACGCUGAGGAGCGAAAGUGUGGGGAGCGAACAGG